GCCUAGGGGCGGCCAACGAGCCUGAGAUUACCUUGAAAUUAAGGUUAAACCCUAUGAACCUGAUCCAGUUAAUACUGGCGUAGGGACAGGCUGAG
rnacentral:ncRNA from 1 species